rnacentral:rRNA from 1 species
CGAACAGUUGGAAACGACUGCUAAUACCGCAUACGAUCCAAUCUCGGCAUCGAGGAUGGAUGAAAGGUGGCCUCUAUUUAUAAGCUAUCACUGAAGGAGGGGAUUGCGUCUGAUUAGCUAGUUGGAGGGGGUAACGGGCCCACCAAGGCAAUGAUCAGUAGCCGGUCUGAGAGGAUGAACGGCCACAUUGGGACUGAGACACGGCCCAGACUCCUACGGGAGGCAGCAUG